rnacentral:rRNA from 1 species
UACGUAGGGGGCAAGCGUUGUCCGGAUUUAUUGGGUUUAAAGGGUGCGUAGGCGGUCUAUUAAGUCAGUGCUGAAAUAUCCCGGCUUAACCGGGAGGGUGGCAUUGAUACUGAUGGACUUGAGUAAAGUUGAGGUUGGCGGAAUUGACGGUGUAGCGGUGAAAUGCUUAGAUAUCGUCAAGAACACCUAUUGCGAAGGCAGCUAACUAAGCUUAAACUGACGCUGAGGCACGAAAGUGUGGGGAGCAAACAGG